AUUGAACGCUGGCGGCAGGCUUAACACAUGCAAGUCGAGCGAGCGGCGGACGGGUGAGUAAUGUCUGGGAAACUGCCUGAUGGAGGGGGAUAACUACUGGAAACGGUAGCUAAUACCGCAUACCCUCAGAUGUGCCCAGAUGGGAUGAGCUAGUAGGUGGGGUAAAGGCUCACCUAGGCGACGAUCCCUAGCUGGUCUGAGAGGAUGAACAGCCACACUGGAACUGAGACGCGGUCCAGACUCCUACGGGAGGCAGCAGUGGGGAAUAUUGCACAAUGGGCGCAAGCCUGAUGCAGCCAUGCCGCGUGUGUGAAGAAGGCCUUCGGGUUGUAAAGCACUUUCAGCGAGGAGGCGUUACUCGCAGAAGAAGCACCGGCUAACUCCGUGCCAGCAGCCGCGGUAAUAC
rnacentral:rRNA from 1 species